AUUUAGUGUUAUCACCGCACUUAUUCAGCAUAAGAUGACGAAUAAGUGGGGCAAAGACACCAAA
rnacentral:pre_miRNA from 1 species